rnacentral:lncRNA from 1 species
CCCCUCCACGUGAGGAGACCUUAGAAGCAUGGCAACCAUAGAAUUUCAUUAGAACCAUGGCAACCAUAGAACUUCAUAAUCCUCUCAGCCAGCCAGCAGCAUUGGCCUCCACAGACACAUCAAAUGGCAGCAGCUCUCCUCCCAGCCACAAAUGGAGCAUGGCCAUCAUCAACUUUGAUAGACAGCCAAGAUGGGGGGGAGGGUGUGUAUGUGUAUGUGUGUGUGUGUGUGUGAUUGUGUGUGAGAGAGAGUGUGUGUGUGGUGUGUGAGAGAGAGAGAGUGAGAGAGAGAGAGAGAGUGUGUGAGUGUGAGAGAGAGAGAGAGAGAGAGAGAGAGAGAGAGAGUGUGAGAGUGUGUGUGUGUGUGUGUGUGUGUGAGACCUGCUACUCUUUUUCAGCGUGAGGUUGUUGGCUCCAGAGGUUUGCCAGUUUUUCUGCUUCAUGCGUAUUAAACAUGAACCAUACUGGGAGAUGGUAAUGAGAACAGAACAGUUAACGCUCUCUGCCUGGGUCCUGUUGGAGCAUGCUGUAUGUGAGUGGGUGUGUCUGCACAUGUGCCUGUGUUUCUCCAACUGUUCCUCAGAGUACUGUAUUAUGUGUGUGUGUGUGUGAUCAUAAAGUUAGUGCUGAAGCUGAUGAGAUCAGGCUGAAGCUGAUGAGAUCCACUGUGCUGUGCUGAGAUGAGAUCCACUGUGCUGAGAUCCACUGUGCUGAGAUCCACUGUGUUGAGAUGAGAUCCACUGUGCUGUGCUGAGAUCCACUGUGCUGAGAUGAGAUCCACUGUGCUGAGAUGAGAUCCACUGUGCUGAGAUGAGAUCCACUGUGUUGAGAUGAGAUCCACUGUGCUGAGAAGAGAUCCACUGUGCUGAGAUGAAAUCCACUGUGCUGAGAUGAGAUCCACUGUGCUGAGAUGAGAUCCACUGUGUUGAGAUGAGAUCCACUGUUGAGAUGAGAUCCACUGUUGAGAUGAGAUCCACUGUGUUGAGAUGAGAUCCACUGUGUUGAGAUGAGAUCCACUGUGUUGAGAUGAGAUCCACUGUGUUGAGAUGAGAUGAGAUCCACUGUGUUGAGAUGAGAUGAGAUCCACUGUGUUGAGAUGAGAUCCACUGUGCUGAGAUGAGAUCCACUGUGCUGAGCUGAAAUCCACUGUGUUGAGAUGAGAUCCACUGUGUUGAGAUGAGAUCCACUGUGUUGAGAUGAGAUCCACUGUGUUGAGAUGAGAUGAGAUCCACUGUGUUGAGAUGAGAUGAGAUCCACUGUGUUGAGAUGAGAUCCACUGUGUUGAGAUGAGAUCCACUGUGCUGAGAUGAGAUCCACUGUGCUGAGCUGAAAUCCACUGUGUUGAGAUGAGGUCCACUAUGCUGAGAUCCACUGUGUUGAGAUGAGAUCCACUGUGCUGAGAUGAGAUCCACUGUGCUGAGAUGAGAUCCACUGUGCUGAGAUGAGAUCCACUGUGUUGAGAUGAGAUCCACUGUGUUGAGAUGAGAUCCACUGUGCUGAGAUGAGAUCCACUGUGCUGAGAUGAGAUCCAGUGUACUGAGAUGAGGUCCACUGUGUUGAGAUGAGGUCCACUGUGCUGAGAUGAGAUCCACUGUGCUGAGAUGAGAUCCACUGUGCUGAGAUGAGAUCCACUGUGUUGAGAUGAGAUCCACUGUGUUGAGAUGAGAUCCACUGUACUGAGAUGAGGUCCACUGUGUUGAGAUGAGGUCCACUGUGUUGAGAUGAGGUCCACUGUGUUGAGAUGAGGUCCACUGUGUUGAGAUGAGGUCCACUGUGUUGAGAUGAGCCUGCUAGGCUAAAUUCUGGUUAACACUUUUGGACUGUGUCGCAUUUCACUCUCACCCCUGGUCUCUCUCUCCCCAAGUCUCUCUCUCUGAAUUUAAUUAAAUUCACUAUCUCUCUACAGUCUCUCUCUCUACAGUCUCUCUCUCUACAGUCUCUCUCUCUACAGUCUCUCUCUCUAGUCUCUCUCUCUACAGUCUCUCUCUCUACAGUCUCUCUCUCUACAGUCUCUCUCUCUACAGUCUCUCUCUCUACAGUCUCUCUCUCUACAGUCUCUCUCUCUACAGUCUCUCUCUCUACAGUCUCUCUCUCUUUCUCACCUGCGGUGUCUCUUGAUGAGAAGUCUGUCCAUGUAACUGAGACUGUGUUGGGUGAACUCCACCUUCACUGGUCUUCUCUCAGCCCCACUGUCACUCAGGUCUGACUGGGUCCCCAUCACUUCCACUGAUACU